UUUUUCAUUGGUCGGUAAACACCGGUUCUCGUCCGAUCACCGAAGUUAAGCAAUGUCGGGCCCGGUCAGUACUUGGUAGGGUGACCACCUGGGAACACCGGGUGCUGUAGGCU
rnacentral:rRNA from 1 species